GAUGAACGCUAGCGGGAGGCCUAACACAUGCAAGCCGAGCGGUAUUGUUUCUUCGGAAAUGAGAGAGCGGCGUACGGUGCGGAACACGUGUGCAACCUGCCUUCAUCUGGGGAUAGCCUUUCGAAAGGAAGAUUAAUACUCCAUAAUAUAUUGAACGGCAUCGUUUAAUAUUGAAAGCUCCGGCGGAUAGAGAUGGGCACGCGCAAGAUUAGCUAGUUGGUGAGGUAACGCUCACCAAGGCAAUGAUCUUUAGGGGCCUGAGAGGUGAUCCCCACACUGGUACUGAGACACGGACCAGACUCCUACGGGAGGCAGCAGUGAGGAAUAUUGGUCAAUGGGUGCAAGCCUGAACCAGCCAUCCCGCGUGAAGGACGACUGCCCUAUGGGUUGAAAACUUCUUUUAGUAUAGGGAUAAACCUACCCUCGUGAGGGUAGCUGAAGGUACUAUACGAAUAAGCACCGGCUAACUCCGUGCCAGCAGC
rnacentral:rRNA from 1 species